UGCCAAAGGAGCUUGAGGAACUCGAACUCUCCGUCCAGCAGGGUGAGCAGGAUAAACAAACCAAGGAUCAGCAGCUUACAAACUUGAACGAGGAGAUCUCUCAUCAGGAAGAACUCAUUUCUAAAGUUAACAAGGAAAAGAAACACCUUCAGGAAUGCAACCAGAAGACUGCUGAAGACCUUCAGGGCAUUGAAGACAAAUGCAACAAUCUCAACAAGGUUAAGACAAAGUUAGAAUCUAGCCUUGAUGAACUUGAAGAUACUCUGGAGCGUGAGAAGAAGCUUCGUGCUGAGGUUGAGAAGUCAAAGAGGAAGGUUGAGGGUGACCUUAGGCUGACUCAGGAAGCUGUUUCUGAUCUGGAACGCAAUCUCAAGGAACUUGAAGUUGCGGCUGAGCGCAAGGAAAAGGAAAUUGCUGCCAUGACUGCCAAGAUCGAUGAUGAACAGGCUCUUGUGUACAGGGACCAGAGGCAGAUUAAGGAACUGCAAGCUCGUCUUGAGGAGCUCGAGGAGGAAGUUGAGCAUGAGCGUCAGGCCCGUAGCAAGGCCGAGAAAGCCAAGAAUCUUCUGUCUCGUGAACUGACAGAGCUUGGAGAGCGACUGGAUGAGGCUGGUGGCGCAACCGCGGCUCAGAUCGAAAUCAAUAAGAAGCGUGAAGGUGAACUGGCUAAGGUCCGCCGCGACAUUGAGGAGUCCAACCUUCAGCAUGAGGCUGCUCUUGCUACUCUCCGCAAGAAGCACAACGACGCCGUUGCCGAGAUGUCUGAGCAAGUCGAUUACCUCAAUAAGAUGAAGGCCAGGACUGAAAAGGACAAAGAAGCCAUGAAGCGAGAUGCCGAUGAUGCUAAGGCUUCCAUGGAUUCACUUGCUCGUGACAAGACUACCGCUGAGAAGACCACCAAGCAGCUUCAGCAUCAGUACGGCGAGAUCUGCGCCAAGUUAGACGAGGUCAACCGCACCCUGAGUGACUUCGAUGCCACCAAGAAGAAGCUUGCCUGCGAGAAUGCAGACCUUGUCCGCCAGCUGGAAGAGGCCGAAAACCAGGUCAGCCAGCUGUCAAGGGUCAAGCUCUCUCUCACCAACCAGCUCGACGACACCAGGAAGAUGUGCGAUGAAGAGAGCAGGGGCCGUGCCACUCUCCUGGGCAAGUUCCGCAACCUGGAGCACGAUAUUCAAGCCCUCCGUGAUCAACUGGAUGAGGAGAGCGAUGCCAAGGGAGAUGUUCUCCGAAUGCUCUCCAAGGCUAACGCUGAGGCUCUCAUGUGGCGCUCCAAGUACGAGUCUGAGGGUGUUGCCCGUGCAGAGGAACUCGAGGCUGCUCGUAUGAAGCUCGCCGCUCGUCUUGAGGAGGCCGAAAUGCAAAUCGAGUCUCUCAAUGUUAGGAACCUGCAUCUCGAAAAGACUAAAAUGCGUGCUGCUGCUGAGCUGGACGAUCUCCAUGCUUCUGCUGAGCGUGCACAGGCCCUGGCUAGUGCUGCUGAAAAGAAGCAGAAGAACUUCGACAAGAUCAUUUCCGAAUGGAAACUGAAGGUUGAUGACUUGGCCGCUGAGGUAGAUGCCUCGCAGAAGGAAUGCCGCAACUACUCCACCGAGCACUUCCGCCUGAAGGCCGCCAAUGAUGAGAACAUUGAACAGCUUGACAGCAUUCGCCGAGAGAACAAGAACCUGAGCGACGAGAUCAGGGAUCUGAUGGACCAGCUUGUGAGGGUGGCCGAGCAUACCAUGAAGUUCAGAAGAAUGCCAGACGUCUUGAGCUCGAGAAGGAAGAACUCCAGGCUGCUCUUGAGGAGGCCGAGGCCGCUCUCGAACAAGAGGAGAACAAGGUCCUCCGCACUCAACUUGAACUCAGCCAGAUCAGACAAGAGAUUGACAGGCGUCUUCAGGAGAAGGAGGAAGAGUUCGACAACACACGCAAGUGUCACCAGAGGGCCAUCGACUCCAUGCAAGCUUCUCUUGAGGUUGAAGCCAAGGGUAAGGCCGAGGCUCUUCGCAUAAAGAAGAAGCUCGAGUCCGACAUCAACGAGCUCGAGAUCGCCCUUGACCACGCCAAUAAGGCCAAUGCUGAUCUUCACAAACAUCUGAGGAAGGUUCAUGAUGAAAUCAAGGAUGCGGAAGCCCGUGUUAAGGAGGAGCAACGCCAUGCCUCCGAGUUCCGUGAACAGUAUGGCAUUGCUGAACGCCGCUUCAACGCCCUUCACGGAGAGCUGGAAGAAUCCCGCACUCUCCUGGAACAGUCUGACCGCGGCCGUCGCCACGCUGAGACUGAGCUCAAUGAUGCACGCGAACAGAUCAACAACUUCACCAACCAGAAUACUGCUCUCACUGCCUCAAAGAGGAAGCUUGAAGGUGAAAUGGCAACCCUCCAGGCUGACCUUGAGGAGAUGCUCAACGAGGCAAGGAACUCUGAGGAGAAGGCGAAGAAGGCAAUGCUUGACGCUGCCCGCCUGGCCGACGAACUCCGCUCUGAGCAGGAACACGCUCAGGCCCAAGAGAAGAUGCGUAAGGCCUUGGAAAUUACCGUCAAGGAUCUCCAGACCCGUCUUGAUGAGAGUGAGAGUGCUGCCAUGAAGGCUGGCAAGAAGGCCGUCAGCAACAUGGAAGCUCGCAUUCGUGAUCUCGAGUCUGCGCUGGAUGAAGAGGUCCGUCGUCACGCCGAUUCGCAGAAGAACCUGAGGAAGUGCGAGAGGCGCAUCAAGGAGCUCGCCUUCCAGACUGACGAGGACAAGAAGAACCACGACAGGAUGCAGGACCUCGUCGAUAAGCUCCAGCAGAAGAUCAAGACCUACAAGCGACAGAUCGAGGAGGCUGAGGAGAUCGCCGCCCUCAACUUGGCCAAGUUCCGCAAGACUCAGCAGGAGCUUGAAGAAUCUGAAGGAGUAACUAUCAUCCACUAUUAAAUGCAGUGUUAUCUAAAACGAUGUAACUUGGGUAACUGCUGCAAUAAAAAUGUAAUUUAAA